rnacentral:rRNA from 1 species
CCUACGUGUGGCAGCAGUGGGGAAUAUUGGACAAUGGGCGAAAGCCUGAUCCAGCCAUGCCGCGUGUGUGAAGAAGGCCUUCGGGUUGUAAAGCACUUUCAGUGGGGAAGAAAGCCUUGGGGCUAAUACCCUCGAGGAAGGACAUCACCCACAGAAGAAGCACCGGCUAACUCCGUGCCAGCAGCCGCGGUAAUACGGAGGGUGCGAGCGUUAAUCGGAAUUACUGGGCGUAAAGCGCGCGUAGGCGGUCUGAUAAGCCGGUUGUGAAAGCCCCGGGCUCAACCUGGGAACGGCAUCCGGAACUGUCAGGCUAGAGUACAGGAGAGGAAGGUAGAAUUCCCGGUGUAGCGGUGAAAUGCGUAGAGAUCGGGAGGAAUACCAGUGGCGAAGGCGGCCUUCUGGACUGACACUGACGCUGAGGUGCGAAAGCGUGGGUAGCAAACAGGAUUAGAUACCCUAGUAGUC